GCCGGUUUAGCUCAGAUGGAAGAGCAGCGCCCCUGUAAGGCGACGGUCACGGGUUCGAAUCCUUGUAAUCGGCACCA
rnacentral:tRNA from 1 species